GACGAACGCUGGCGGCGUGCUUAACACAUGCAAGUCGAACGGUAAGGCCCUUUCGGGGGUACACGAGUGGCGAACGGGUGAGUAACACGUGGGUGAUCUGCCCUGCACUUUGGGAUAAGCCUGGGAAACUGGGUCUAAUACCGGAUAGGACUACGCGAUGCAUGUCGUGUGGUGGAAAGCUUUUGCGGUGUGGGAUGGGCCCGCGGCCUAUCAGCUUGUUGGUGGGGUGUUGGCCUACCAAGGCGACGACGGGUAGCCGGCCUGAGAGGGUGUCCGGCCACACUGGGACUGAGAUACGGCCCAGACUCCUACGGGAGGCAGCAGUGGGGAAUAUUGCACAAUGGGCGCAAGCCUGAUGCAGCGACGCCGCGUGGGGGAUGACGGCCUUCGGGUUGUAAACCCCUUUCAGCACAGACGAAGCGUAAGUGACGGUAUGUGCAGAAGAAGCACCGGCCAACUACGUG
rnacentral:rRNA from 1 species